CCUGAAUUUUACCAUGUACCAGCUGGGACUUGGCAAAGGAUAUCUCUGGGAAACUUCAGGCCGGAUUUGAUAAUCAGCCCCUCCCCUGCAGACCAGACAUGGAUGGAAAACCUUCCUGCCAAACCCCUUGUUCUUCAAGCAACAUACCUGCGUCUGGGGGAGACAUGAUUUACUCGGGGUCAGACACGGCCACGAUGACCAGGAAAGGGAGAUGGCUCCUCAGCAACUGUUGACCAGACCAGGGCUGUGACAAUGACCUCGGCCAAGCACAAGCAUCCCCCACUCCCUCCACCACCCUCAGAGAGAGUGUUUUUAAAGAAUUUGUUAUUUUAGAUUUCCAAAAGAGCAUUAAAAAUUCAGAACUACA